AUUGAACGCUGGCGGCAGGCCUAACACAUGCAAGUCGAACGGCAGCACGGGGCAACCUGGUGGCGAGUGGCGAACGGGUGAGUAAUGCAUCGGAACGUACCUUUCAGUGGGGGAUAACGUAGCGAAAGUUACGCUAAUACCGCAUAUUCUGUGAGCAGGAAAGCAGGGGAUCGCAAGACCUUGCGCUGAUUGAGCGGCCGAUGUCAGAUUAGCUAGUUGGUGAGGUAAAGGCUCACCAAGGCGACGAUCUGUAGCGGGUCUGGGAGGAUGAUCCGCCACACUGGAACUGAGACACGGUCCAGACUCCUACGGGAGGCAGCAGUGGGGAAUUUUGGACAAUGGGGGCAACCCUGAUCCAGCCAUGCCGCGUGAGUGAAGAAGGCCUUCGGGUUGUAAAGCUCUUUCGGCCGGGAAGAAAUCGCACGGGCUAAUACCCUGUGUGGAUGACGGUACCGGAAUAAGAAGCACCGGCUAACUACGUGCCAGCCGCCGCCGUAAGAC
rnacentral:rRNA from 1 species